ACAAAUGCAGAGCGCACGCGUUUGGCUGGCUGGCGACUGCACAAGCAGGGAUGGCGCCGCCUCAGCGUUCUCGGGUGCUACGCUGCUGCAGCUGCCGCCUCUUCCAGGCGCACCAGGUAAAAAAGAGUGUCAAGUGGACAUGCAAAGCUUGUGGAGAGAAGCAGUCCUUUUUGCGGGAAAAAUCGCAGCCCUCAGAGAGUCGCUGGCUGAAGUAUCUAGAAAAGGACUCCCAAGAACUGGAGCUGGAAGGAAGAGGAGUGUGUUUCAGCAAACAGCCUUCAUCCAAAAUGGAGGAGCCAGGCCCCCACUUCAGUCAAGACCUGCCUAGAGAAAGGAAGUGGAGCCAGAGCACCGUCCAGCCUCCAUGCAGCCUUGGUGUCCAGGACUCAGGUGGCUCUGAGGUCACCUGGGAACCCCAGAAGGUCAGUGACAGAGAACAGUUUCUCUCUGGUCCCAGUGACCACUGAGUAUGUGUGGGAUAAUUUUGUCUUUUGUCACAGUUGACGAAGUGUGCGAUUCCUACCCGCAGAAAGCCCAUCUUCCCAGCUGGGUUUCUUGUCUUUUCUGUCUGAAGCCAGCUCCUUCCUCGGGUCUGUACCCCCUUUUUCCCUCCCAUGCCUCUCGUCUCCCAUGAGGGUAACUCAGGACCAAAGAGCAUUGUGACCGUUGGAGCAACUGAGGUUGGCCAGCAGGUCAACCUGACGAUGGGUCAGGGCCAUCAUCUCAUUCUGCGUGGAGCACGGGGACCUUUGUCCAGGCAGGAGUUGUCAGUGGGCCGCCCUGAAUCCUGGGAGAUGCUUCCUUCCACACUCACAUUUGUCCAGCUGUGGACUCUUGUAUGUGAGGCACUCUUCACUUAGAGUGUUGUCUUGUUCUUCUUUGUUUUCUGAGACAGGGUCUCACUCUGUCUACCCAGGGUGGAGUGCAGUGGCACAGUCAUAGCCUACUGAAGCUUCAACCUCCCAGGCUCAAGUGAUCCUCCUGCCUCAGCCCCCAAGUAGCUGGGACUACAGAUGCACACCACCACACUGGCUAAUCUUUAAAAAAUAUUUUGUAGA
rnacentral:sRNA from 1 species